UCACGAAGAACUCCGAUUGCGAAGGCAGCUUGCUGGACUGUAACUGACGCUGAGGCACGAAAGCGUGGGGAUCAAACAGGAUUAGNUACCCUGGUAGNNNACGCCGUAAACGAUGAAUGCUAGCUGUNAGCGAUAUACUGUUAGCGGCACAGAGAAAUCGUUAAGCAUUCCACCUGGGGAGUACGCCGGCAACGGUGAAACUCAAAGGAAUUGACGGGGGCCCGCACAAGCGGAGGAACAUGUGGUUUAAUUCGAUGAUACGCGAGGAACCUUACCUGGGCUUAAAUUGCAGUGGAAUAACGUGGAAACAUGUUAGCCUUCGGGCCGCUGUGAAGGUGCUGCAUGGUUGUCGUCAGCUCGUGCCGUGAGGUGUCGGCUUAAGUGCCAUAACGAGCGCAACCCUCAUCGAUAGUUACUAACAGGUUAAGCUGAGGACUCUAUCGAGACUGCCGACGUAAGUCGUGAGGAAGGUGGGGAUGACGUCAAAUCAGCACGGCCCUUACGUCCAGGGCUACACACGUGUUACAAUGGGGGGUACAAAGGGCAGCUACCUGGCGACAGGAUGCUAAUCUCAAAAACCUCUCUCAGUUCGGAUUGGAGUCUGCAACCCGACUCCAUGAAGCUGGAUUCGCUAGUAAUCGCGCAUCAGCCACGGCGCGGUGAAUACGUUCCCGGGCCUUGUACACACCGCCCGUCAAGCCAUGGGAGCCGGGGGGACCUGAAGUAUGCAACCGUAAGGAGCGUCCUAGGGUAAAACUGGUGACUGGGGCU
rnacentral:rRNA from 1 species